GUAGUCAUAUGCUUGUCUCAAAGAUUAAGCCAUGCAUGUCUAAGUAUAAACAAAUUUGUACUGUGAAACUGCGAAUGGCUCAUUAAAUCAGUUAUAGUUUAUUUGAUGAUAACUUACUACAUGGAUAACUGUGGUAAUUCUAGAGCUAAUACAUGCAUCAAACAGCCCCGACUCCUGGAAGGGGUGUACUUAUUAGAUAAAAAACCAACGCGGCUUGCCGCUCCCUUGGUGAUUCAUAAUAACUUUUCGAAUCGCAUGGCCUUGCGCCGGCGAUGCAUCAUUCAAAUAUCUGCCCUAUCAACUUUCGAUGGUAGGAUAGUGGCCUACCACGGUUUCAACGGGUAACGGGGAAU
rnacentral:rRNA from 1 species